GACGAACGCUGGCGGCGUGCUUAACACAUGCAAGUCGAACGGAAAGGCCCUGCUUUUGUGGGGUGCUCGAGUGGCGAACGGGUGAGUAACACGUGAGUAACCUGCCCUUGACUUUGGGAUAACUUCAGGAAACUGGGGCUAAUACCGGAUAGGAGCUCCUGCUGCAUGGUGGGGGUUGGAAAGUUUCGGCGGUUGGGGAUGGACUCGCGGCUUAUCAGCUUGUUGGUGGGGUAGUGGCUUACCAAGGCUUUGACGGGUAGCCGGCCUGAGAGGGUGACCGGCCACAUUGGGACUGAGAUACGGACCAGACUCCUACGGGAGGCAGCAGUGGGGAGUAUGGCACAAUGGGCGGAAGCCUGAUGCAGCAACGCCGCGUGCGGGAUGACGGCCUUCGGGUUGUAAACCGCUUUCGCCUGAGACGAAGCGUGAGUGACGGUAAUGGGUAAAGAAGCACCGGCUAACUACGUG
rnacentral:rRNA from 1 species